rnacentral:rRNA from 1 species
UACGGAGGGUGCGAGCGUUGUCCGGAAUCAUUGGGCGUAAAGGGCGCGUAGGUGGCCCGGUCAGUCAGUGGUGAAAGCGCGGGGCUCAACCCCGCGUCGGCCAUUGAUACUGCCGCGGCUCGAGCACUGUAGAGGCAGGCGGAAUUCCGGGUGUAGCGGUGGAAUGCGUAGAGAUCCGGAAGAACACCGGUGGCGAAGGCGGCCUGCUGGGCAGUGGCUGACACUGAGGCGCGACAGCGUGGGGAGCAAACAGG